GCAUAUUGUCGAUAACAGAAUUCAAAUAUCUUCUCACAUCAUUACAGUUGCAAAUUCAAGAUUUCAGAUGUAUCACCUCUCCUGAGAACUCUUUUUCCUCUACAGCCGGUUUUGUAUUGAAAAUUGUAACAGGGCCUACAAUUGGAUUCAAAGUUUCAGGCAAUCUACCAUAUUUUAUAAUCAUGAGCAAUAUCUCAGUAUUUGGAAACUGGAGUGACGAUGGUGGUGAUUUGGACAUGACGACAGCGAGGACAACCUCAAGACCGUUUAACUUGUUCUCGAUUAUCUCGGUUGGCUUUUGGACUUAUACGCAAGCAUAUUGGAAGAUCAAACUGGCAAACUUGAUUGUUAUGUCAAUCACUGGCCUGCUUUCUCUGGUUCUCAACUCAUACAUCGUUGGUCUGUUUUUGUUCGUAUCACAGUUCCGACGUCUAGAGUACUACCCAUUAGCUUUGAAUUCUUUCAUCGACAUUUUUGGAAGCGGCAUCGUUCCACCAGUUACGGAGUUCCUGUUUGCUACAAUUGCAAUAAAUCAUGACACUCAAAACUAUGCUUUCC